rnacentral:rRNA from 1 species
CAGCAGUAGCCGCGGGAAUACGAAGGUCCCGAGCGUUGUUCGGAAUCACUGGGCGUAAAGGGAGCGUAGGCGGCGUGGUAAGUCAGAUGUGAAAUCCCGGGGCUCAACCCCGGAACUGCAUCCGAUACUGCCAUGCUAGAGGAUUGGAGAGGUAGCUGGAAUUCUUGGUGUAGCAGUGAAAUGCGUGGAGAUCAAGAGGAACACUCGUGGCGAAAGCGAGCUACUGGACAAUAACUGACGCUGAGGCUCGAAGGCCAGGGUAGCGAAAGGGAUUAGAUACCCCCGUAGUCCCUGUCUCUUAUAC